rnacentral:lncRNA from 1 species
AUCUUUGUUUUCAUCCUUGGCCUUUAACUCAACGUUUUAUGGAGCCUGAGACGAUAAAGCACAGGGAUGAUGGAGGAGGUUUAUCUACCCGAAAAUGUAGAAUCUCACCCCUGAGGAAGAAGAAAACAUACACCACUAUCACCAACAUUGCAUAAAGCAAAGGCUUAAUUUCUAACUAGAAACAAUUGAGCGACAAAUUGCUUCACAAACACAGGGGCUGCCAGGAUCCUUCUUUUAUCAGCAACUAAUUUUGCCCGGUACAUAAACAAGGUAAGCAGGGAGGAGGAAGUAACAUGAUUUCAUCAGCUGUUUUAGCCACACCAUAGUGCUCAUUGUUGAUUCAUGAAUCAAUGAUUAGGUUU